GCUUUCCUCAUUGACAUAACCCACCCGCUGGUACGAGCCAAUACGGGCUAGUCAGUCGUUCARAGAGAAGCGAGAACGCUAAAUGAGGGCAAACAAGAAUCCUAGGGACCCCAUGCCCACAUCAUGUUCCGUAUCCAUGAUACCAAGCAAUACCCAAUGACCCACACCACCAACACAAAGCAUCAACGAUGUAGUUCAAAGAGACAGCUUCAAGGACCAUCUCAUGCCAUAUAAAUGACACAAGACGAGAGCCAAAUUGAUCGAUCGAGACAAUACCAUCACUUAGGUAUGCAGCACAGGAAACCCACAAUCUGCUUAGGCAGUACAAGCCUAAACAAGCAACUGAAGAGGUAUGUCAGGUGGAAGUUGUU
rnacentral:misc_RNA from 1 species